rnacentral:rRNA from 1 species
AUUGAACGCUGGCGGCAGGCUUAGCACAUGCAAGUCGAGCGAGCGGCGGACGGGUGAGCAAUGUCUGGGAAACUGCCUGAUGGAGGGGGAUAACUACUGGAAACGGUAGCUAAUACUGCAUACCAUCAGAUGUGCCCAGAUGGGAUUAGCUAGUAGGUGGGGUAAUGGCUCACCUAGGCGACGAUCCCUAGCUGGUCUGAGAGGAUGACCAGCCACACUGGAACUGAGACACGGUCCAGACUCCUACGGGAGGCAGCAGUGGGGAAUAUUGCGCAAUGGGGGCAACCCUGACGCAGCCAUGCCGCGUGAAUGAAGAAGGCCUUCGGGUUGUAAAGUUCUUUCGGUAGCGAAGCGUUAACUACAGAGAAAGCACCGGCUAACUCCGUGCCAGCAGCCGCGGUAAUAC